GGGGUUGUGGCUCAGUGGUAGAGUGCUUGCCUUGUGUGUGUGAGGCACUGAGUUCAACUCUCAGCACCG
rnacentral:tRNA from 1 species